CUAUAAUCCCCCGCUUCCUUCAUACUCUUUUGCAAUGUGAUCUAGACUCUCCCUCCAUCCAGAGAUGAAUUCUUCCCCUCCCCUGGAAUCUGAUUUGACCUUGUGACUUCCUUUGUCCAGGAGAGUGCAGCAGAGGGAUGUUCUGUGGCUUCAGGGCCAAGCCUUAAGAGGCCUUGAAGCUUCCAUUUUCACCCAUUUGGAGCCCUGUGCCAUCAUGCAUAGAUGUCCCACUAUCUCACUGGAAAGACCAUGUGGACAGAGAGGUGCCUGGGUAUUUUAGCCAUCUCAGCUGGUGUGCCAUGUGAUGAAGGCCAUCUUGGAUCACCACUCCAGCUGAUCUGCAGAUGAUUACAACAACAAGAGUGAGCUCGGGUGAAACCAGAAGAACAGCCCAGCUGAGCCCAUUUCACACUGCAGAAUCAUGAGAAAACAAAGUUGUUAUGCGGCAGACAUAAUGGAUGUGGUUAAUUCUCUGUGACUGGUCUGCCUGUGCAUCAAUAAAAGCAUAUUUGCAAUUUCAAGGCACUAAGAAGAUGAUGAGUUGAGCCUCUGCUCAGCAUCUUAUUGAGCCGAUGGUAUUAUGUUGUAUCUAUUCCCUGAGUGGACCUGGUCUAAUACAAAGCUGAUAUAGGAGAAGAGGCUGGAAAUGCAUCCAUUCACUACUCCUAUUUACCUGUGGGAAGACUAUGAAGGAUUAGCAGAGAAUACAUUUUGAAAACCACUGGACUGAAUAGUUUUUCAAUCCUCCUACCCAGACACGGUCAGGUCCAUAAUGAUGACCUAGGUUUUCAAAUGAAGAUCCUCCCUUUGGCACAAUCUUUCUACAAAUAUUUAAGAAGCUGCCAACUGCAUGCCAGUAUAACCGCUGAGUAUCCCCCAGGGUGGAGCUCACUGCUGAGGCUCUCCACCGGCCAUUAUUAUUCUGGAAAACCUUCUAAGGCUCUGGAUCCAGCCUUCAUGCCUGUGGGCUCAGAGGAUCAUACGGAGGAAGAAUUGGUAGGUGGAGUAAGAAACAGGUUUACAACUGGACACCGUCUGGUCUGACAUUCCAGUUUGGCUAUGUACUGACUGUAUAAUCCUGAACAUGUCACUCAGCAGUUGAAGUCUCAAACUUCUUAUCCACGACCUAAUUACAGUGGCAAAUUUGUCCUAAAGAUCUACCUGCAUGUAGAAGCAUGACUACAUGACCGUAUGUCUGUGACAAAUUCAAGCAUUCUCUAUGGCCCUCCAUUACCUAUCAGGUUGUCAAUGAGAGAUCAAUGAGAGUGGAAGGUCACUAUCUUCCUUGGGAAGAGCUGAAUAUGCAUCUCCUCAUGUUUUAGCACCACGGGAAGGUCAGAGGAUGAGAGAAGAUUGCUCCAUCUCAUGAAUUUAUGGACAUAUUCUCCACACAAAAAUUAAGCCUGCAGUUAAAGCUUUAAAUAGAUAACUUCAGUAAACCUCUCUCUAUUAUCAAGAAUAAACUGUUGAUGGUAGAAAGUAAAGAUUUGGCCUGCGUGUAUGGCUCUGGCAGUAAUUAACUGCUUACUUACACUGAUAUAUAUUCAGUGCUUGAGAUAAUUGGAAAGAUACAGAACACUUCUCUCUGGUCUCCCUCGAUAAACAUCCCUCCACAGCUGCUGAAGGACAAAUAUAAAUGUCUGUUUCUUUUAGCCACAAUCCAAAUGAAGAGAAAUAUGUUUAUGAACAUAGCUUCAUGGACAGGUGAAUGAAGGUCCAAUCCAGCCUUAAAGAUUAUAUCUCUUCACAUCACCUUUCUUGAA